rnacentral:rRNA from 1 species
CGGAGAGUUUGAUCCUGGCUCAGGACGAACGCUGGCGGCAUGCCUAAUACAUGCAAGUCGAACGAACCAUCCUGAAGAUUGAAGCUUGCUUCAUGAUUCAGACCUUGGUGAGUGGCGGACGGGUGAGUAACACGUGGGUAACCUGCCCAGAAGUGGGGGAUAACAUUUGGAAACAAGUGCUAAUACCGCAUAACAACUUAGAUCACAUGAUCUUUGUUUAAAAGAUGGUUUUGCUAUCUCUUCUGGAUGGACCCGCGGCGUAUUAGCUAGUUGGUGAGGUAAUAGCUCACCAAGGCGAUGAUACGUAGCCGACCUGAGAGGGUAAUCGGCCACAUUGGGACUGAGACACGGCCCAAACUCCUACGGGAGGCAGCAGUAGGGAAUCUUCCACAAUGGACGAAAGUCUGAUGGAGCAAUGCCGCGUGAGUGAAGAAGGUUUUCGGAUCGUAAAACUCUGUUGUUGAAGAAGAACAUAUGUGAGAGUAACUGUUCACGUACUGACGGUAUUCAACCAGAAAGCCACGGCUAACUACGUGCCAGCAGCCGCGGUAAUACGUAGGUGGCAAGCGUUGUCCGGAUUUAUUGGGCGUAAAGAGAAUGUAGGCGGUUUAUUAAGUUUGAAGUGAAAGCCCUCGGCUCAACCGAGGAAGUGCUUCGAAAACUGGUAAACUUGAGUGCAGAAGAGGAAAGUGGAACUCCAUGUGUAGCGGUGGAAUGCGUAGAUAUAUGGAAGAACACCAGUGGCGAAGGCGGCUUUCUGGUCUGUAACUGACGCUGAGAUUCGAAAGCAUGGGUAGCAAAACAGGAUUAGAUACCCUGGUAGUCCAUGCCGUAAACGAUGAGUGCUAAGUGUUGG